rnacentral:rRNA from 1 species
AUUGAACGCUGGCGGCAUGCUUUACACAUGCAAGUCGGACGGCAGCACAGAGAAGCUUGCUUCUUGGGUGGCGAGUGGCGAACGGGUGAGUAAUAUAUCGGAACGUACCGAGUAAUGGGGGAUAACUAAUCGAAAGAUUAGCUAAUACCGCAUAUUCUCUGAGGAGGAAAGCAGGGGACCUUCGGGCCUUGCGUUAUUCGAGCGGCCGAUAUCUGAUUAGCUAGUUGGUGGGGUAAAGGCCUACCAAGGCGACGAUCAGUAGCGGGUCUGAGAGGAUGAUACGCCACACUGGGACUGAGACACGGCCCAGACUCCUACGGGAGGCAGCAGUGGGGAAUUUUGGACAAUGGGCGCAAGCCUGAUCCAGCCAUGCCGCGUGUCUGAAGAAGGCCUUCGGGUUGUAAAGGACUUUUGUCAGGGAAGAAAAGGCUGUUGCUAAUAUCGACAGCUGAUGACGGUACCUGAAGAAUAAGCACCGGCUAACUACGUG